ACUGCGAGUGAAGCGGGAAAGCUCAAAUUUAAAAUCUGGCAGUCUUUGGCUGUCCGAGUUGUAUUCUAGAGAAGCGCUUUCCGUGCCGGACCGUGUACAAGUCUCUUGGAACAGAGCGUCAUAGAGGGUGAGAAUCCCGUCUUUGACACGGACUACCGGUGCUUUGUGAUGCGUUUUCAAAGAGUCGAGUUGUUUGGGAAUGCAGCUCAAAAUGGGUGGUAAAUUCCAUCUAAAGCUAAAUAUUGGCGAGAGACCGAUAGCGAACAAGUACCGUGAGGGAAAGAUGAAAAGCACUUUGGAAAGAGAGUUAAACAGUACGUGAAAUUGCUGAAAGGGAAACGCUUGAAGUCAGUCGCGUCGUUCAGAACUCAGCCUGGCUUUUGCUCGGUGCACUUUCUGAAUGACGGGCCAGCAUCAAUUUUGACUGUCGGAUAAAGGCCAGAGAAAUGUGGCUCCUUUGGGAGUGUUAUAGUCUCUGGUUGCAUACGAUGGUUGGGAUUGAGGAACUCAGCAUGCCUUUAUGGUCGGGGUUCGCCCACGUUCAUGCUUAGGAUGCUGGCGUAAUGGCUUUAAACGACCCGUCUUGAAACACGGACCAAGGAGUCUAACAUGCCUGCGAGUGUUUGGGUGGAAAACCCGAGCGCGCAAUGAAAGUGAAAGUUGGGAUCCCUGUCGUGGGGAGCACUGACGCCCGGACCAGACCUUCUGUGACGGAUCCGCGGUAGAGCAUGUAUGUUGGGACCCGAAAGAUGGUGAACUAUGCCUGAAUAGGGUGAAGCCAGAGGAAACUCUGGUGGAGGCUCGUAGCGAUUCUGACGUGCAAAUCGAUCGUCAAAUUUGGGUAUAGGGGCGAAAGACUAAUC
rnacentral:rRNA from 1 species